GCCCUCGCAAGAUCCCCCACACACUGUGCGAGAUGAUGGUGCCUUCCAAUGGGGCGUCGGGACUGUCGAUCUAGGAAAAAGGAGCAUCGGUUGCAUGUGAUCCUAGUUUGAAAGGCAUUGGCGAGUGAGGCUUCGCUUGAUUUCAUGAGGAAGAUGGGUAAGCUAAGCCCACACUCCAUGUGGACAAAAUGUUGCAGUAAAGCUAUGUCGGGCAGGUUUGACUCGCAGAUGGUACUCCAUCGUCUACCGGUGGAAUUAAUGCAAGAAUCCCUUCCUAAAAGGCCGCUGAUUUGGUCCUCCUUCCAAAGCUAGCACCGUGACCCUCUGCCAAAUCUUUCCAUGAUGAAGCGCUACCGACACCUGCUUUUCAGGCAGUUUAUUGAAUGACAAGACUUCCUUGUUUAUCAGGAUAGUCAGAAUAUUGUACCUAUUGUGUUUGGGGCUGUGCAUAAAGAUUAAUGUGUAACUUACCUCGGGAAGUCAUCUGAUGUAACAAAUGUAUAGUACAUCC